UACGUAGGGGGCGAGCGUUGUCCGGAGUUACUGGGCGUAAAGCGCACGCAGGCGGUCUGUUAAGUUUGGCGUGACAGUUGGUGGCUCAACCACCAAAGUGCUUUGAAAACUGGCAGACUUGAGGGCUUCAGAGGGACACGGAAUUCCGGGUGGAGUGGUGAAAUGCGUAGAGAUCCGGAGGAACACCGAAGGCGAAGGCAGUGUCCUGGGGAGUACCUGACGCUCAGGUGCGAAAGCCAGGGGAGCGAACGGG
rnacentral:rRNA from 1 species